rnacentral:rRNA from 1 species
GUGGGGAAUAUUGGGCAAUGGGCGAAAGCCUGACCCAGCAACGCCGCGUGAAGGAAGAAGGCCUUCGGGUUGUAAACUUCUUUUAUGAGGGACGAAGGAAGUGACUGUACCUCAUGAAUAAGCCACGGCUAACUACGUGCCAGCAGCCGCGGUAAUACGUAGGUGGCAAGCGUUGUCCGGAUUUACUGGGUGUAAAGGGCGCGUAGGCGGACUGGCAAGUCAGAUGUGAAAUCCAUGAGCUCAACUCAUGAACUGCAUUUGAAACUGUUGGUCUUGAGUAUCGUAGAGGCGAGCGGAAUUCCUAGUGUAGCGGUGAAAUGCGUAGAUAGUAGGAGGAACACCAGUGGCGAAGGCGGCUUGCUGGACGACAACUGACGCUGAGGCGCGAAAGCGUGGGGAGCAAACAGGAUUAGAAACCCUAGUAGUCC